rnacentral:rRNA from 1 species
CGGCACUAGCGCGGUGGUCCCACCUGACCCCAUGCCGAACUCAGAAGUGAAACGCCGUAGCGCCGAUGGUAGUGUGGGGUCUCCCCAUGCGAGAGUAGGGAACUGCCA